UGGGGAAUAUUGCACAAUGGAGGGAACUCUGAUGCAGCGACGCCGCGUGAGUGAUGAAGGACUUCGUUUCGUAAAACUCUGUUCUAUGGGAAGAAAAGGACUGUACCAUAGGAGAAAGCUCCGGCUAAAUACGUGCCAGCAGCCGCGGUAAUACGUAUGGAGCGAGCGUUGUCCGGAAUUAUUGGGCGUAAAGGGUGCGCAGGCGGCUUUACAAGUUGGAUGUGAAAUAUUGUGGCUCAACCACAAACGUGCAUCCAAAACUGCAAAGCUUGAGUUAAGGAGAGGUAAGUGGAAUUCCUGGUGUAGCGGUGGAAUGCGUAGAUAUCAGGAGGAAUACCGAUGGCGAAGGCGACUUACUGGACUUAAACUGACGCUCAGGCACGAAAGCGUGGGGAGCAAACAGG
rnacentral:rRNA from 1 species